rnacentral:rRNA from 1 species
UGAACGCUGGCGGCGUGCUUAACACAUGCAAGUCGAACGGAGCUUAUUUGAUAGAGACUUCGGUCAAUUGAUUAUAAGCUUAGUGGCGGACGGGUGAGUAACGCGUGAGGAAUCUGCCUUGGAGUGGGGAAUAACACAGGGAAACUUGUGCUAAUACCGCAUGACACAUACUGAUCGCAUGUUUAGUAUGUCAAAGAGAAAUCGCUGAUAGAUGGGCUCGCGUCUGAUUAGAUAGUUGGCAGGGUAACGGCCUACCAAGUCUACGAUCAGUAGCCGAACUGAGAGGUUGAACGGCCACAUUGGAACUGAGAAACGGUCCAGACUCCUACGGGAGGCAGCAGUGGGGAAUAUUGGGCAAUGGGCGAAAGCCUGACCCAGCGACGCCGCGUGAGGGAAGACGGUCUUCGGAUUGUAAACCUCUUUCAGCAGGGAAGAAGAAAGUGACGGUACCUGCAGAAGAAGUCACGGCUAACUACGUG